rnacentral:rRNA from 1 species
UACGAAGGUGGCAAGCGUUGUUCGGAUUUACUGGGCGUACAGGGAGCGUAGGCGGUUGGAUAAGCCCUCCGUGAAAUCUCCAGGCUUAACCUGGAAAGUGCAGAGGGGACUGUUCAGCUAGAGGAUGGGAGAGGAGCGCGGAAUUCCCGGUGUAGCGGUGAAAUGCGUAGAGAUCGGGAGGAACACCAGUGGCGAAGGCGGCUUCCUGGCCUGUUCUUGACGCUGAGGCGCGAAAGCUAGGGUAGCAAACGGGG